GUGCUGGUUUCCAAGGCACAUAUUCUACCAUGGGAAGGAUACAGAGAUUAGCACGGCCCCUGCACAAGGAUGACAUGCAAAUUCCUGAAGCGGUCCACAUUUAA